GCUUUGACAAUGUUGCACUACUGUACCAUCCAUUCUAGCAGUGCAAUAGUAUUGUCAUAGCAU
rnacentral:pre_miRNA from 1 species